rnacentral:rRNA from 1 species
AACGAACGCUGGCGGCAGGCCUAACACAUGCAAGUCGAACGCUUCAGCAAUGAAGAGUGGCAGACGGGUGAGUAACGCGUGGGAACCUUCCCAGUGGUACGGAAUAGCCCAGGGAAACUUGGGGUAAUACCGUAUAAGCCUUUAGGGGGAAAGAUUUAUCGCCAUUGGAUGGGCCCGCGUCGGAUUAGCUUGUUGGUGAGGUAAAAGCUCACCAAGGCGACGAUCCGUAGCUGGUCUGAGAGGAUGAUCAGCCACACUGGGACUGAGACACGGCCCAGACUCCUACGGGAGGCAGCAGUGGGGAAUAUUGGACAAUGGGCGCAAGCCUGAUCCAGCCAUGCCGCGUGAGUGACGAAGGCCUUAGGGUUGUAAAGCUCUUUUGGCGGGGACGAUAAUGACGGUACCCGCAGAAUAAGCUCCGGCUAACUUCGUGCCAGCAGCCGCAGGUAAUACGAAGGGAGCUAGCGUUGUUCGGAAUUACUGGGCGUAAAGCGCACGUAGGCGGAUUUGUUAGUCAGGGGUGAAAUCCCGGGGCCCAACCUCGGAACUGCCUUUGAUACUGCAAGUCUGGAGUCCGGAAGAGGUGGGUGGAAUUCCUAGUGUAGAGGUGAAAUUCGUAGAUAUUAGGAAGAACACCGGUGGCGAAGGCGGGCCACUGGUCCGGUACUGACGCUGAGGUGCGCGAAAGCCGUUGGGGAAGCAAACAGGAUUAGAUACCCUGUAGUCCACGCACGUAAACCGAUGAUGCUAUUGUCGCGACAGCCUUGCUUGGUCGUAGGCAAGUAAACGCAUUAAGGCAUACCGGCUUGGGGAAUACACGGCGCGAGGUUUAAACAUUCCAAAGGACAUUGACCGGCGAAACCCA